rnacentral:rRNA from 1 species
UACAGAGGGUGCAAGCGUUAAUCGGAAUUACUGGGCGUAAAGCGCACGUAGGUGGUUUGUUAAGUUGGCUGUGAAAGCCCCGGGCUCAACCUGGGAAAGCCAGCCAAUACUGAUAGACUAGAGUACUGUAGAGGGUAGUGGAAUUUCCGGUGUAGCGGUGAAAUGCGUAGAGAUCGGAAAGAACACCAGUGGCGAAGGCGGCUACCUGGACAGAUACUGACACUGAGGUGCGAAAGCGUGGGGAGCAAACAGG